rnacentral:rRNA from 1 species
AUGGAGGUGGCGAUCAGCAAGGUUUAUCCUGGCACUGUCCACCGGUGGUGCAAGUGGAAUGUCCUGAAGAAGGCGAAGGAAAUCUUUGGUCUGCUUUACACAAAGAAGAGUAAUUUUCAGGCUGAAUUUCACAAGGUUGUGAACCACAUGUUAACUGAGGAAGAAUUUGAAGCAGCUUGGGGGUUGUUGUUGGAUACAAUCUGA